rnacentral:rRNA from 1 species
GAUGAACGCUGGCGGCGUGCCUAAUACAUGCAAGUCGAGCGAACAGACGAGGAGCUUGCUCCUUUGACGUUAGCGGCGGACGGGUGAGUAACACGUGGAUAACCUACCUAUAAGACUGGGAUACUUUCGGGAAACCGGAGCUAAUACCGGAUAAUAUGUUGACCCGCAUUGUUCAACAGUGAAAGACGGUUUUGCUGUCACUUAUAGCUGAAUCCGCGCUGCAUUAGUUAGUUGGUAAGGUAACGGGUUACCAAGGCAACGAUGCGAACACGGCCUGAAGGGGUCAUCGGCCAGCCUGUAUGAGAGAAAGAGUCCAGACUCCGAGAGGAGGACGCAGUAGGGAAUCUUCCGCAAAGGAGGAGAGCCGAACGGAGCAACGCCGGGGGAAUGAAGAAGGUCCUCGGAUCGUAAAGCGCAGUAAGUAGGAAGGAAGAAAAGUGUAAGUAACCGUGCACAUCAUGACGGUACCGGAACAGAAAGCCACGGCUAACUACGUG